rnacentral:rRNA from 1 species
GCAUAUCAAUAAGCGGAGGAAAAGAAACCAACAGGGAUUGCCUCAGUAACGGCGAGUGAAGCGGCAAAAGCUCAAAUUUGAAAUCUGGCACCGUUAGGUGUCCGAGUUGUAAUUUGGAGAGGAUACUUCGGGUGUGGCUACGGCGUAAGUCCCUUGGAACAGGGCGUCAUAGAGGGUGAGAAUCCCGUCUUAAGUCGUUUGUCCACGCCCAUGCGAAGUUCCUUCGACGAGUCGAGUUGUUUGGGAAUGCAGCUCUAAGUGGGUGGUAAAUUUCAUCUAAAGCUAAAUAUUGGCCGGAGACCGAUAGCGAACAAGUAGAGUGAUCGAAAGGUUAAAAGCACCUUGAAAAGGGAGUUAAAUAGCACGUGAAAUUGUUGAAAGGGAAGCGCUUGCAACCAGACUCGGUCAUAGGGGCUCAGCAGGCAUGCGUGCCUGUGUACUCCCCUGUGUUCGGGCCAGCAUCAGUUCUGGCGGUUGGUUAAAGGCCCUUGGAAUGUAUCGUCCUCCGGGACGUCUUAUAGCCAAGGGUGUAAUGCAGCCAGCUGGGACUGAGGAACGCGCUUCGGCACGGAUGCUGGCGUAAUGGUUGUAAGCGACCCGUCUUGAAACACGGACC